GUGAGGAAUAUUGCGCAAUGGAGGCAACUCUGACGCAGCCAUGUCGCGUGCAGGAAGAAGGCGCUACGCGUUGUAAACUGCUUUUAACCGGGAAGAAACCCCAGGACGUGUCCUGGGUUGACGGUACCGGAGGAAUAAGCACCGGCUAACUUCGUGCCAGCAGCCGCGGUAAUACGAAGGGUGCAAGCGUUAUCCGGAUUCAUUGGGUUUAAAGGGUGCGUAGGCGGAGCGUUAAGUCAGUGGUGAAAUCCUGCAGCUUAACUGUAGACUUGCCAUUGAUACUGGCGCUCUUGAGUGCGCUUGAAGUGGGCGGAAUGUGCCGUGUAGCGGUGAAAUGCUUAGAUAUGGCACAGAACACCAAUUGCGAAGGCAGCUCACUAAGGCGAUACUGACGCUGAGGCACGAAAGCGUGGGGAUCGAACAGGAUUAGAAACCCCAGUAGUCC
rnacentral:rRNA from 1 species